AACGGCGUCCUCGGGUUCGCCACCUCCCUGGACGAACCCAACCGGUCAGCAAACCUCUCCCCUGGGUUUUGCUGCCACCCCGGCCCCGAGGAUUCCCCCCUAAUCCUCGGGGCUUUUUU
rnacentral:sRNA from 1 species